rnacentral:rRNA from 1 species
UACGUAGGGUCCAAGCGUUAUCCGGAAUCACUGGGCGUAAAGCGUGCGUAGGUGGCGUGUUAAGUGUGAUGUUAAAUCGUGGGGCUCAACCCUGUCGGUGCAUCACAUACUGGCAUGCUAGAGGACAGCAGAGGCAAGUGGAAUUUGUAGUGUAGCAGUGAAAUGCGUAGAUAUUACAAGGAACACCAAUGGCGAAGGCAGCUUGGUGGGCUACUCCUGACACUGAGGUACGAAAGCGUGGGGAGCGAACAGG